AAGUCGAGCGAACAGAUGAGAAGCUUGCUUCUCUGAUGUUAGCGGCGGACGGGUGAGUAACACGUGGAUAACCUACCUAUAAGACUGGGAUAACUUCGGGAAACCGGAGCUAAUACCGGAUAAUAUAUUGAACUGCAUGGUUCAAUAGUGAAAGACGGUUUUGCUGUCACUUAUAGAUGGAUCCGCGCCGCAUUAGCUAGUUGGUAAGGUAACGGCUUACCAAGGCAACGAUGCGUAGCCGACCUGAGAGGGUGAUCGGCCACACUGGAACUGAGACACGGUCCAGACUCCUACGGGAGGCAGCAGUAGGGAAUCUUCCGCAAUGGGCGAAAGCCUGACGGAGCAACGCCGCGUGAGUGAUGAAGGGUUUCGGCUCGUAAAACUCUGUUAUUAGGGAAGAACAAAUGUGUAAGUAACUGUGCACAUCUUGACGGUACCUAAUCGGAAAGCCACGGCUAACUACGUGCCAGCAGCCGCGGUAAUACGUAGGUGGCAAGCGUUAUCCGGAAUUAUUGGGCGUAAAGCGCGCGUAGGCGGUUUCUUAAGUCUGAUGUGAAAGCCCACGGCUCAACCGUGGAGGGUCAUUGGAUACUGGGAUACUUGAGUGCAGAAGAGGAAAGUGGAUAUUCCAUGUGUAGCGGUGAUAUGCGCAGAGAUAUGGAGGUACACCAGUGGCGAAGGCGACUUUCUGGUCUG
rnacentral:rRNA from 1 species